GACGAACGCUGGCGGCGUGCCUAAUACAUGCAAGUCGAACGCAGUGGGGACGGGUGAGUGACACGUGGGUAACCUCCCAUCAGAGGGGAUAACACUUGGAAACAGGUGCUAAACCCAUAUUGAUGUAGGGACCCGGUGUGCAUUAGCUAGUUGGUGAGGUAACGGCCAACCAAGGCCACGAUGCAUAGCGGAUCUGAGAGGGUGAUCGGCCACACUGGGACUGAGACACGGCCCAGACUCCUACGGGAGGCAGCAGUAGGGAAUAUUGGACAAUGGACGAAAGUCUGACGCAGCAAUGCCGCGUGAGUGAAGAAGGUUUUCGGAUUGUAAAACUCUGUUGUUAGAGAAGCGGUAUCUAACCAGAAAGCCACGGCUAACUACGUGCCAGCAGCCGCGGUAAUAC
rnacentral:rRNA from 1 species